CGGCAUUUACUUGUGCUCUAUCCCACCUUUGCCAUAAGAGCCACUGGUCACACUGCAAUGAAAACAACAAAGGCUGUGAUUUUUCUUUUCCUUGCAAUUUCGUUCACCUUGCUAAGUCAAUGCUCAUCUCAAGCUCAAUGUGGACAACUUUGUGGUGUCACCAAUCAAGGUUUAGAGUUCGGCUGUCCUAACGGGUGCCAAUGUGUAACUCAUGACUGGGGCACUGGCCGCAAUGGCAGCAGCGGAAAGUGCUUUCCUAAACUACCAUGAAUUCUUCGACAAGAACGUAAUAAAUAAAGUGGCACGGGAAAUCAGAA